CCCCGGCGGGGCUGUCGGGGCGCAGAGCCAGGGGCCGGGCGGGCGGGGGACAGGAGGUAGGGACGUGGCAGAGGCUCAAGAGGGCGGAGGCGGCGCGGCGGGAGGCGGGGCCGCCGAGGGGGGAGGUGCCGAGCGGGCGGUGCCGCCGCGGGAGGUUCUGGAAACGCCGGGAGCGGCGCGGGUCCGGUGAGCGUACUGCCCGCCCGGCCGCCGGGUCCGCUCGGGGCUCGGGCGCGGGCCGGGGUCGCCGGGCCGAGCGUUGUGCCCGCGCGGGGCAGCGAGUUGGGCGCCGGGGGUCGCGCCGCCUGCCGCUCGCCACGCUGUCCCGGCCGCAAGCCCGCGCCCUCCGCCCAGUUUCUACAGGCGUGUGGGUUCCUGUCCCGCCGCUGCGUUCCCUCCCCGAGCUCACGGCGGUGAGACACCCUUUUCAAAUCUGCGUGGAUUUGCCUCAAGAGCCGCGGAGUCUUGUGGUAUCUAGUUAACUGAUUCAACCAACGGACCCUCUGUGUGUCAGAAACUGCAAGGAGUUGCUAGCCCAGUGGGGCAGGCGGACUGGAAGACCAGGAGAGUCCAGGCCCACGGCAGUGUGGUGAGUGCUGUGCUGGAACAGAGCACCAGACUAUGGGUACUUGGUACGCGGCAGAAUGCUUCAGGUCAGAAGACUUCCUGGAGGAGGUGACCCAUGAGCUAGAGUGGUCCCAUGACGUCUAAUUGAGACAGAGGAACAGCCUGUGUGAGUGGAAGCAGACCUGGGCACUCUAAUGGAAGCAAGGUGAUGGGGGAAGGGCUACUUUGGGGGAUAGCUGCCCAUGGCCCUGUCCACAAGCUUCAGGUGAGAGGAGAGUGCCUCGUAUUUUGCCCUGUAUGUGGAGGGUGCUCAGUGAACCCUUGCAGCAUAGGCAUGGAUCAGGGCAUUUCCUACUUGAGGACAGAGGCCCCUAGCUUUUUUUUUUCCCCCCUAAUCUGACAUCUUUAAGAUGGUGUAAAAGAAUAUUAGAGUCCCUCUCAAGGCUGAGACUAAUGUCUUCUGCUGUGAAGUGACACCUAAGGCUAGUGCUGUUCUUUGGCCAGAG
rnacentral:lncRNA from 1 species